rnacentral:rRNA from 1 species
GACGAACCACACAAACGUUAUUCGGAAUUACUGGGCUUAAAGGGUGCGUAGGCGGCGCGGAAAGUAGGGUGUGAAAUCCCUCGGCUCAACCGAGGAAUUGCGCCCUAAACUACCGUGCUCGAGGGAGAUAGAGGUGAGCGGAACUUAGGGUGGAGCGGUGAAAUGCGUUGAUAUCCUAAGGAACACCGGUGGCGAAAGCGGGCUACACUGGACUGGGUAUUGACGCUGAGGUACGAAAGCGUGGGGAGCAAACAGGG